rnacentral:lncRNA from 1 species
GUUAAAUACCUUCCUCGGGUGGAUCCUGGUCUGACCCCCGUGGUAAUAACGUUAUCAUUGAUUCUUUAUCAUUUCCUAGAUUCUGUGUCCGUGCCUUGUUUGAAGAGCUUUUGAGAUACUCUUCCGAAAAAUGAAGACCUGCUCAAAUGACUUUUCCGUCAUUCAGCCAAACCACUGUCUUUCCCGUCAGGCCCAGAGGCGCCUGGUUCCCGCCCG